AUUGAACGCUGGCGGCAGGCCUAACACAUGCAAGUCGAGCGGUAGCACAGAGAGCUUGCUCUCGGGUGACGAGCGGCGGACGGGUGAGUAAUGUCUGGGAAACUGCCUGAUGGAGGGGGAUAACUACUGGAAACGGUAGCUAAUACCGCAUAAUGUCGCAAGACCAAAGUGGGGGACCUUCGGGCCUCAUGCCAUCAGAUGUGCCCAGAUGGGAUUAGCUAGUAGGUGGGGUAACGGCUCACCUAGGCGACGAUCCCUAGCUGGUCUGAGAGGAUGACCAGCCACACUGGAACUGAGACACGGUCCAGACUCCUACGGGAGGCAGCAGUGGGGAAUAUUGCACAAUGGGCGCAAGCCUGAUGCAGCCAUGCCGCGUGUGUGAAGAAGGCCUUCGGGUUGUAAAGCACUUUCAGCGGGGAGGAAGGCGUUAAGGUUAAUAACCUUGGCGAUUGACGUUACCCGCAGAAGAAGCACCGGCUAACUCCGUGCCAGCAGCCGCCGUAACAC
rnacentral:rRNA from 1 species